UUUUACCAGCAUUGCACUGUUUAUUUGUUUAUCGCUUUUAUUUGGCCUCCCUAGGAUCAGCAACAGGAAUCUUGGUCCUUGUCUCUAUAUUGAGCGGAAAUGGGAUGGAAACAUUGGAGGGAGCUGAUGCCACUGGGGUAAUUUUCUCUGCAAGCUCAGGAGUCCUCACAGUGUCCCCCAGCAACAGCCCUAGGAGUCCCAGGAGAUGGUGAGGGAGGAGGCACCAGCCAGGGUUACAGUUUGUUCCUUCCAGUCAUCUUUCAUUUAGUGACCACUGAGGAAUGCGUCAGCACAACCAGCCUUGGAAACACGUCGAUUUGUUUAUUCUCUGCCAGAGUGGUGGAUUUUAUUCUGAAAACAAAGUUCUGCGCUGUUCUGCUAGUCCCAGCAGUGAUGGUGAACAAACGAAGAGUUAUGGGUGGAAGAGCACUCUCACUGUGACCUGUGUCAUACUCUUGCUUGCUGAGAGCUUGUAA
rnacentral:lncRNA from 1 species